rnacentral:rRNA from 1 species
AUUGAACGCUGGCGGCAGGCUUAACACAUGCAAGUCGAGCGGAGAGAAGUAGCUGGCUACUGAUCUUAGCGGCGGACGGGGGAGUAAUGCUUAGGAAUCCGACUAUUAUUGGGGGACAACAUUUCGAAAGGAAUGCUAAUAACGCAUACGUCCUACCGGUGAAAGCAGUGGAUCUUCGGACCUUUCUGUAAUAGAAGAGCCUGGUCGGAUUAGCUAGUUGGUCGGGUAAAGGCCUACCAAGGCGACGAUCUGUAGCGGGUCUGAGAAGAUGAUCCGGCACACUGGGACUGAGACACGGCCCAGACUCCUACGGGAGGCAGCAGUGGGGAAUAUUGGACAAUGGGCGGAAGCCUGAUCCAGCCAUGCCGCGUGUGUGAAGAAGGCCUUAUGGUUGUAAAGCACUUUAAGCGAGGAGGAGUCUACUUUAGUUAAUACCUAGAGAUAGUGGACGUUACUCGCAGAAUAAGCACCGGCUAACUCUGUGCCAGCCGCCGCGGUAAAAC